UUUAUCUAGUCAAUAUUAUUUAAGUUAUACAUUUUUUUUAUAGUUGAUUUAAAAAUAUUAUUAAUUAUUUGUUGUCGUGAUGGGGAAAGGAAUAGCAUAUUCCGCUAUCGAAAAAAAAAUUAAUUUUAGAACUAGUUCAACAAAAUAGUGUGGUUGAAAAUAAGAAAACUGAUUCAACUAGCAUUCAUUGCAAAAAUGUAGCCUGGAAAAAAAUUACAUCAGAAUUCAACGCAAUGGGUGAUCAUCCAAAAGGAGGUUUUAUUCAUACGAAAAUAGAUCUAUACACACGUGCAAUUCACGCCAAUAGCUAAUGAUUGCGACGAGAAUGCUGUACAGUUUUUAUAUUCGUUUCGAGUUUUCUGCUGGUACGAGAUUUGAUUGUAUACACAAUAUUUCCAGAAACACAGUAUGAAAAGUGUGAAAAAUAAAAUAAAACUCUGCUUUCUGGAUGAUUGCAUAAAGUAACAGGAUAUUGUGUACUCACACAUAUUCGCACGUGCAUAUACGUGGUGACUGGUAAUCCACGAUUCGAGUAUAUUUUCGAUAUGCAAACGAGUAGAAAACUAGAAAAUUGUAUGUACACACGUAUACAGGGUUUUCCGAAAAAAACGCAAACAUUUUAAAUAACUCGCAAAGGAGUAAUAAAUAUAUAUAUAUCAAUAUCAUUUUUUUAUUGAAAACAAAAUCUCCAUUAAAGUUUUUACGAGUCCAAAAGUUAAAAAAUCAAAUUGUAUAAAAGUAUGACGUCCGUAAGAUGGUGUCCAUCAGUAAACAUGCAUUUGUAGGACAUACUAACAAGUUGUCAACCAAACUGAGAUCAUCAGUUAUCUUUUCCAUAACCGCAAUUGGUGGCCAGUGGCUUCGGCUCCUGCAAUAUUUUUUUAGGUAUUGGAAAGAGCCAUUGCACAUUGCCAGCGUUCAAUUUCGGGAAUGUAUAAUACAAAUGGAUUUCAGUUAAAGGACAUUAAUUUUAAGAUAAGAUAUUUAUAACAUUUGAACUCUUAACGGCAUAACAUUUAGUUUAUGAUUUCAAUAAUAACAUUCUGUAAUAAAAUUAUAAAAAAAAUGUAUUUAGAAUUAAAAAUGAGUAAGUGGUUAAUACUGGUAAAUGAAUAUUAUUUUUUCUUUCACUGGAAUCACAGCUCUUCAAGAGUGUUUGUCACCUACGACACUUUCUUUCACUAUUCCCGAUUUUGCACUUUUUCUUCCCAAUUUGAUAUCCCUAGUUUCUCUAAGUCCUGCUUUAUUCCAUCUACUUAUUGCUUCUUUGGACGUUCUAUUGGUCUCUUCCCUAUGGGGCUCCACACCGCUUUAAGGUAUUCUGAGUCUAAAUUAAUUAAUAAAUGCUUAGCUUGGAGUAUUGUUAUAUUUG